GUGGGGAAUAUUGCACAAUGGGGGAAACCCUGAUGCAGCAACGCCGCGUGAGUGAUGAAGGUCUUCGGAUUGUAAAACUCUGUCUUCAGGGACGAUAAUGACGGUACCUGAGGAGGAAGCCACGGCUAACUACGUGCCAGCAGCCGCGGUAAUACGUAGGUGGCAAGCGUUGUCCGGAUUUACUGGGCGUAAAGGGAGCGUAGGUGGAUAUUUAAGUGGGAUGUGAAAUACUCGGGCUUAACCUGAGUGCUGCAUUCCAAACUGGAUAUCUAGAGUGCAGGAGAGGAAAGUAGAAUUCCUAGUGUAGCGGUGAAAUGCGUAGAGAUUAGGAAGAAUACCAGUGGCGAAGGCGACUUUCUGGACUGUAACUGACACUGAGGCUCGAAAGCGUGGGGAGCAAACAGGAUUAGAAACCCUAGUAGUCC
rnacentral:rRNA from 1 species